CCUAAGUUUGUGUACAUUUGGUUGCUCCAUUCCCUCCACCAUACCUUUUCGUUCCCUUAAGAAUCAGCCCAAGGAAGGAGAAAGGAAAAGACCAAGGCAUUACAUGGAAAGCCUGAAAGGAUUGUAUAGUGCUCAUAGAAACGAAUUCAGGCCGCUAAGAGAUUAGAGCACUUUAGAUUGGAAUUUGAAGUUGGGUACAGGGAUAAAAUGGAAAAGAAUUCCAAGUCUUCAGACAAAACACUGAAGGGUCCAUGGAACAUACUCGAUUUAACAUAAUAGCCUAGAGAAAACCCAAAAGAUGCAAACCCACCACAUACAAAAGGAUAUAUCAUAUGAGAAACUAGAAAAUUCUUACAGGCAUAAAACUGCCAUGCUAAUUCUUCAAGAGAACAGCAGAGGCAAUUAUGACCUGGACAAAUGAAAACACCACUUUCUGUUAAGUUUAAGAGGCUUUUAAUUCUCUUCUGAAGUAGCGAGGGAGGAAGGAGUGGUCUCUGGCUAGGAAGUACAUGAGAAGCAUUGGUGUCCGAGACUAUUCUUCACAGUACCAGACAGCAUUCUUCAUCUGACUCUGUCAUGAGCAAUGGGAUCCUCAGCUGUGAUCUCAUCUGUCCCAUCAGAGGAGGGGAGUCCUGGACACAGGUCUCAAGGAUGCUAGAGGCAUACAGUCCCCAAGACACAGGAUCUCAGGGACAGGAAAGGAAUUAAUUCUAGAGUGUUCGCAGGAUCUGAAUCACAACUAAUUGUAACAGUAUCUCCACCACCCAGGAUUUGGACUGCAACUGAUCUGCUACUCAACUGGCACCAGCACUGUUGAAAAGGAGAUGUCCCUGAGGGGUAGCCUUGUCUCUCGAAAUGAAUUGAAAUAGUUUCCCCUGGACCUGGAUUCUGCCAGCACCAACCAGACUUCUGUGUACUUCUGAGCCAGCAGUGUACCCACAGCACUGCACAGCCACAUCCUCUCUGCACAAAAAGAGUGCCUUCAAGAUUCCUGACCCUAACUAGGAGAAGUUUCCUCACAAGAUUGCACUGAAGCCCCGCCUGACCUCAAUAUUAUUUAAUUCUCUUUUCCCAUUCAUGUCUGUCAGACUCCUUUCCUUUUAUAAUCAAAGUGUUUCCCCCUGGUUGCUAUUCCCCUAAACUAGAGGGUAUUAACCCAACGUGAAUAUUUUCUAAGAUGAACUUCAAUUUUCAGAUAUGGGUGUAGGGAAAUUCUGAUGAAAUUGAAUUGUGUUCAAAUAAAUAAAGACAAAAAAAC
rnacentral:lncRNA from 1 species